rnacentral:rRNA from 1 species
GAUGAACGCUGGCGGCGUGCCUAAUACAUGCAAGUCGAGCGAACAGACGAGGAGCUUGCUCCUCUGACGUUAGCGGCGGACGGGUGAGUAACACGUGGAUAACCUACCUAUAUGACUGGGAUAACUUCGGGAAACCGGAGCUAAUACCGGAUAAUAUAUUGAACCGCAUGGUUCAAUAGUGAAAGACGGUUUUGCUGUCACUUAUAGAUGGAUCCGCGCCGCAUUAGCUAGUUGGUAAGGUAACGGCUUACCAAGGCAACGAUGCGUAGCCGACCUGAGAGGGUGAUCGGCCACACGGGAACUGAGACACGGUCCAGACUCCUACGGGAGGCAGCAGUAGGGAAUCUUCCGCAAUGGGCGAAAGCCUGGCGGAGCAACGCCGCGUGAGUUAUGAAGGUCUUCGGAUCGUAAAACUCUGUUAUUAGGGAAGAACAAAUGUGUAAGUAACUAUGCACGUCUUGACGGUACCUAAUCAGAAAGCCACGGCUAACUACGUG